AGUAAAUAGAUACCCCGGUAGUCCACGCCGUAAACGAUGUCGACUUGGAGGUUGUGCCCUUGAGGCGUGGCUUCCGGAGCUAAACGCGUUAAAGUCGACCGCCUGGGGAGUACGGCCGCAAGGUUAAAACUCAAAUGAAUUGACGGGGGCCCGCACAAGCGGUGGAGCAUGUGGUUUAAUUCGAUGCAACGCGAAGAACCUUACCUACUCUUGACAUCCAGAGAACUUAGCAGAGAUGCUUUGGUGCCUUCGGGAACUCUGAGACAGGUGCUGCAUGGCUGUCGUCAGCUCGUGUUGUGAAAUGUUGGGUUAAGUCCCGCAACGAGCGCAACCCUUAUCCUUUGUUGCCAGCGGUUAGGCCGGGAACUCAAAGGAGACUGCCAGUGAUAAACUGGAGGAAGGUGGGGAUGACGUCAAGUCAUCAUGGCCCUUACGAGUAGGGCUACACACGUGCUACAAUGGCGCAUACAAAGAGAAGCGACCUCGCGAGAGCAAGCGGACCUCAU
rnacentral:rRNA from 1 species